rnacentral:rRNA from 1 species
CCCGCCUACGGGAGGCAGCAGUCGAGGAUCUUUAGCAAUGGGCGAAAGCCUGACUAUGCGACGCCGCGUGAGGGAUGAAGUAUUUCGGUACGUAAACCUCUUUCGAUGGGGAAGAAACUCCUGUCUAACUAACAGGACUGACGGUACCCAGAGAAGAAGCCACGGCCAACUCCGUGCCAGCAGCCGCGGUAAUACGGGGGUGGCGAGCGUUACUCGGAUUCAUUGGGUGUAAAGGGCAGGUAGGUGUCCUAACAAGUUUUAGGUGAAAUCCUGUAGCUCAACUACAGAACUGCCUAAAAAACUGUUAGGAUUGAGACUGGAAGAGGAGAGCGGAAUUCCCGGUGUAAGGGUGAAAUCUGUAGAUAUCGGGAGGAACACCAGUGGCGAAAGCGGCUCUCUGGUCUACGUCUGACGCUGAACUGCGAAAGCUAGGGGAGCAAACAGGAUUAGAUACCCUGGUAGUCCUAGCCGUAAACGAUGAGCACUAGGUGUUGGGGGUUAAACCCUUAGCGCCGCAAGAUAACUCGUUAAGUGCUCCACCUGGGGACUACGACCGCAAGGUUAAAACUCAAAGGAAUUGACGG